rnacentral:rRNA from 1 species
UACGUGAGAGGCAAGCGUUAUUCGUCAUUAAUGGGUCUAAAGGGUGCGUAGGCGGCGCGGUAAGUCGGGUGUGAAAUCUCGGAGCUUAACUCCGAAACUGCAUUCGAUACUGCCGUGCUUGAGGACUGGAGAGGAGACUGGAAUUUACGGUGUAGCGGUGAAAUGCGUAGAUAUCGUAAGGAAGACCAGUGGCGAAGGCGGGUCUCUGGACAGUUCCUGACGCUGAGGCACGAAGGCCAGGGGAGCAAACGGG